rnacentral:rRNA from 1 species
GAUGAACGCUGGCGGCGUGCUUAACACAUGCAAGUCGAACGAUGAAGCCCAGCUUGCUGGGUGGAUUAGUGGCGAACGGGUGAGUAACACGUGAGUAACCUGCCCUUAACUCUGGGAUAAGCCUGGGAAACUGGGUCUAAUACCGGAUAGGAGCGUCCACCGCAUGGUGGGUGUUGGAAAGAUUUAUCGGUUUUGGAUGGACUCGCGGCCUAUCAGCUUGUUGGUGAGGUAAUGGCUCACCAAGGCGACGACGGGUAGCCGGCCCGAGAGGGUGACCGGCCACACUGGGACUGAGACACGGCAGAGACUCCUACGGGAGGCAGCAGUGGGGAAUAUUGCACCAUGGGCGCAAGCCUGAUGCAGCGACGCCGCGUGAGGGAUGACGGCCUUCGGGUUGUAAACCUCUUUCAGUAGGGAAGAAGCGAAAGUGACGGUACCUGCAGAAGAAGCACCGGCUAACUACGUG